UACGGGGGGGGUAAGCGUUGUUCGGAAUUACUGGGCGUAAAGGGUUUGUAGGGUGGCUUGUUAAGUCAGACGUGAAAUCCCGUCAGCUUAACUGGGGAACUGCGUCUGAGACUGGUGAGCUUGAGUGCAGGAGAGGAACGCGGAAUUCCAGGUGUAGCGGUGAAAUGCGUAGAUAUCUGGAGGAACACCGGUGGCGAAGGCGGCGUUCUGGACUGCAACUGACACUGAUGAACGAAAGCCAGGGGAGCAAACGGG
rnacentral:rRNA from 1 species